AUACGGAGGGUGCAAGCGUUGUUCGGAAUCACUGGGCGUAAAGGGCGCGCAGGCGGUUUGGUAAGUCAGAUGUGAAAGCCCACGGCUCAACCGUGGAAGUGCAUUUGAAACUGUCAGACUUGAGUACUAGAGGGGAAAGUGGAAUUCCCGGUGUAGAGGUGAAAUUCGUAGAUAUCGGGAGGAAUACCGGUGGCGAAGGCGACUUUCUGGCUAGAUACUGACGCUGAGGCGCGAAAGCGUGGGGAGCAAACAGGAUUAGAUACCCAGGUAGUCC
rnacentral:rRNA from 1 species